GCUUGCGCUGUGAGCUGAGGCGGUGUAUGUGCGGCAAUAACAUGUCAACCCCGCUGCCCGCCAUCGUGCCCGCCGCCCGGAAGGCCACCGCUGCGGUGAUUUUCCUGCAUGGAUUGGGAGAUACUGGGCACGGAUGGGCAGAAGCCUUUGCAGGUAUCAGAAGUUCACAUAUCAAAUAUAUCUGCCCGCAUGCGCCUGUUAGGCCUGUUACAUUAAAUAUGAACAUGGCUAUGCCUUCAUGGUUUGAUAUUAUUGGGCUUUCACCAGAUUCACAGGAGGAUGAAUCUGGGAUUAAACAGGCAGCAGAAAAUAUAAAAGCUUUGAUUGAUCAAGAAGUGAAGAAUGGCAUUCCUUCUAACAGAAUUAUUUUGGGAGGGUUUUCUCAGGUGUAGCCACACAGAGAGUGACUGGUGGUCAUCGAAUCCCAUUUCCACAGUGCCAGGAGAAAACAUCACUGCCUGGGAUGUGAAAGGCUCACGUGUACUCAUGUGUUGCAGUAACCCAUGGGCAUGGUCAGAGUGAUGGGGCUCCUGGAUGCUGGCAGGAGUACAGCUUCCAGAAUGCGGGAUGUUGUGAGCUGGGUAGGCAGAUACUCUGAAGGUGUCUGCUAAAUAGUUAUUAUUAUCUUAAAUUCUCAUUUAGAAAGUAAUACCAAUUUAAGGGCCAGGCACGGUGGCUCACACCUGUAAUCCCAACACUUUGGGAGGCUGAGGCGGGUGGAUCACCUGAGGUUGGGAGUUUGAGACCAGCCUAACCAACAUGGAGAAACCCCAUCUCUACCAAAAAUACAAAAUUAGCUGGGUGUGGUGGUGCAUGCCUGUAAUCCCAGCUACUCGGGAGGCUGAGGCAGGAGAAUC
rnacentral:sRNA from 1 species